rnacentral:rRNA from 1 species
GAGUUUGAUCCUGGCUCAGAAUGAACGCUGGCGGCGUGCCUAAUACAUGCAAGUCGAGCGCCCCUUUCGUAGUACUGAUGAGAAAUCAUAAGUCUUGCGAUGGGGAGCGGCGGACGGGUGAGUAACACGUGGGAACAUACCCCAGACUGAGGGAUAAGCACCAGAAAUGGUGUCUAAUACCGCAUAACCUCUACGGAGAAAAGCUUCGGCGGUUUGGGAAUGGCCUGCGUUAGAUUAGCUAGUUGGUGAGGUAAAGGCUCACCAAGGCGACGAUCUAUAACUGGUUUGAGAAGAUGAUCAGUCACACUGGAACUGAGACACGGUCCAGACUCCUACGGGAGGCAGCAGUAGGGAAUCUUCCACAAUGGACGAAAGUCUGAUGGAGCAACGCCGCGUGCAGGAUGAAUGCCUUCGGGUUGUAAACUGCUUUUAUAUGUGAAGAUUUUGACGGUAACAUAUGAAUAAGGAUCGGCUAACUCCGUGCCAGCAGCCGCGGUCAUACGGAGGAUCCAAGCGUUAUUCGGAAUGACUGGGCGUAAAGAGUUGCGUAGGCGGUUUGUUAAGCGUGUAGUGAAAUUUCAGGGCUCAACCUUGAAACUGUUACACGAACUGGCAAACUAGAGUAUAUGAGGGGUAAUUGGAAUUCCCGGUGUAGGAGUGGAAU